GCAAGAUAUGAAAAAUCUGUCACAAAAUUUUAUAGAUAAUCUUAAACUUUCUUUCAAAUGAGACAAUAAAAUUUUUUGUUGCCAUUGUCCUUUAAAUGAGCAAGCAUGAUAAUCUCCUAAAUAUCCAGGCUCUGGAUCCCACUCAGAAAAUCUCAGGUUAUUCAGAAAUUCUCUUAACCUUUACCUCUUGAUGAUUUUAGAUUGGUGGCUGGAUAAUGUUAUCUGUGAUUGCUGUUGGCUUAUUCAUUCUCAUUUCAACACACAUUUUAUCCAAGAGAUCAAUGAACAAUCCCCGCGGUGAAUGUCGCCAGCGGACAAGCAUCGUGGAAGUGAUGCCAAGAAAGAAGUUUAUCGAUCAUUCAUGCCAAUUUAAUGAUAUCCAUAAAGUGACUUGCAUUAAAUGCAAUAACAAAAUUAAGUUGUAAGAAAAAACAUGGAGGCAUGUAUCAAAUUACGCAUGUACACAUUUCCCAGAAUGCAAAGUUAGGUCUGAGCAGUCCGUGCUGUAACUGUCUGCAAAUCUAUUCAUCCAUAUUCAUCUUGCCAUGCAAAAUGUUGAAUCGACGUUAUAAGUGCGUGGGUUCUAUGUUAACCCUUUGACGUUAUCUUGUGGAAAACUGGAUAAAUGGAUGAAACCAGACGAAAUUUUGAUCAAGACAAGAACAACGAAACCAUUACCAUAGCUGGAAAGAGCAUCUUAAAUGAGUAAAAUUGCAAAGUUUGGUUGCAAAUUGUUGUAAAAUGAGGAAAAUAUAGCCCUGUGAAGUUUGCAAAUUUAGUAUAUAUUAGCAUUACACACGGGAAAAAUAACCAUUUUUGAGCCGAAAGUGGUUAUUUUUCCCGCGCGUAAUACAAAAUAUACACAAAAUUUGCAAACUUCACAGGGCUAUAUUUUCUUCAUUUUACAACAUUUAACAACCAAUCUUUGCAGUUUUACUCAUUCUAAGACGCUCUUUCUAGCUGUGGUGUUGGAUUUCAUUCUUCUUGCCUUGAUCAAAAUUUAGUCUAUAGCUGGAAACAUCCACCACCCUGCCCAUGAAAAUAAUAGGCAAUUCCAGCUUUUAGUUUUAUAUGCGUGCAGGGGAUGAUGGGAAGUAAGGUAUCAUAUAGCUGAUUAUGCUGAAAAAUUUCAAUAAAAACUGCCGAAACAACCGAAAUAUUUAAAUAUUUACAAGUAUAAGUUAUCACUCUGUGUUUACACG